AGCAGCCGCGGUAAUUCCAGCUCCAAUAGCGUAUAUUAGAGUUGUUGCAGUUAAAAAGCUCGUAGUUGAAUUUCGGGAUCAUCAGGUUGGUCGUGCCUCUGGUAUGUACUUUCCUCGAUGGUUCCUCCUUCUUGAAGAUCCGUAAUGUCAUUAAUUUGGUGUUGCGGGGAAUCAGGACUGUUACUUUGAAAAAAUUAGAGUGUUUAAAGCAGGCAAUCGCUUGAAUACAUUAGCA
rnacentral:rRNA from 1 species